CCAGACUCCUACGGGAGGCAGCAGUGGGGAAUCUUCCGCAAUGGGCGCAAGCCUGACGGAGCAACGCCGCGUGAGUGAAGAAGGUCUUCGGAUCGUAAAGCUCUGUUGAUGGGGACGAACGUGCCUAAUGCGAAUAGUAUUAGGUAAUGACGGUACCCAUCGAGGAAGCCACGGCUAACUACGUGCCAGCAGCCGCGGUAAUACGUAGGUGGCGAGCGUUGUCCGGAAUCAUUGGGCGUAAAGGGAGCGCAGGCGGGCAUGUAAGUCUUUCUUAAAAGUGCGGGGCUCAACCCCGUGAUGGGAAAGAAACUAUGUGUCUUGAGUACAGGAGAGGAAAGCGGAAUUCCCAGUGUAGCGGUGAAAUGCGUAGAUAUUGGGAGGAACACCAGUGGCGAAGGCGGCUUUCUGGACUGCAACUGACGCUGAGGCUCGAAAGCCAGGGGAGCGAACGGGAUUAGAUACCCCGGUAGUCCUGGCCGUAAACGAUGGAUACUAGGUGUAGGAGGUAUCGACCCCUUCUGUGCCGGAGUUAACGCAAUAAGUAUCCCGCCUGGGGAGUACGGUCGCAAGACUGAAACUCAAAGGAAUUGACGGGGGCCCGCACAAGAAGG
rnacentral:rRNA from 1 species